ensembl:lncRNA
AGGGAGCUGAGCAGAGCAAUGAGCGACUGGAAUUCAUUAAGGACAAAUGAUUGCAAACUCGGUGAGACGAUGGCUGAUUUAAUCAUGAUUGAGCACUCGGCUGCCAGAGAACAGGAGGGGAAGUAUGGGCUUACGUGGUAGGACAGGGGACAUGCAGUAGGUUGAGACUUUCUUCCUGGCUAUCGGAUGUGUUUAUACAGAUUUAAGCGUGAACUCAAUACUAAAGGAUUUGAAGAGAUUUGAACUUGAUGGAUCAAUGCUUGUAUUUUCUUUCAUUCAUUCAUCCUCAAUAACUGCUUUAUCCUGCUCACAGUUGAGGUGGAUCACAGGAAUUCCUAGGUGUGAGGGUGUGCUGUAUGAGACGGGAGUCUACAGUAUCUCAGAGCUCCUCACACACAUUCAUUCACUCCUUCAGUCACAUCUAGUGGCAAUUUAGUGUAGCCAGUCGAGGAUGAAACCAACGCAGAGACGGACAUGUGAACCAUGGACCGUGGAACUAUCUCUGGCAGGACAGGAUUCUGGCUGCUGCUGAAGGAAACAUGAAGAGCACAUUCUCUGUCUUGCUGUCGUCCAGAUUGCCCUUUCCAAAUCAAUUUGCAGAGGCACAAAGGAAGAAAACAUGGCACGGUGGCAUUAAGAGCUGCUGCUGAUGAUGAUAAUGAUGUCAUGGUACAGUCACUAAUCCUAGCUUCUAUGUAUGGAUGAUCUAAAUCGUUUGAAUGUAGAUUUGUGUUUUUGUUUACUGGUAAUUGGAGGCAUAUACCUGCCUAGAUUUUUUUGAGAAGCAUGCUCUUGUGGAUGAAUGAGCACAAAUCCCCACAGCCACACUCCAAAAUCCAGUGUAAAGCCUUCCCAGAAGAUUGGAGAUUGUUAUAAGAGCAAUGGGGGACUAUAUCUGGAAUGGGAUGUUCAACAAGCACAAUGUGGGUGUGAUGGUCAAAUGUCCACAGACUUUUAGCCAUAUA